GGCUUUGCCUGCUAUCUCUUACCCAUGUCUUUUGAGUACCUUCGUUUCCUCGGCGGGUCCGCCCGCCGAUUGGACAAUUUAAACCAUUUGCAGUUGCAAUCAGCGUCUGAAAAAACUUAAUAGUUACAACUUUCAACAACGGAUCUCUUGGUUCUGGCAUCGAUGAAGAACGCAGCGAAAUGCGAUAAGUAGUGUGAAUUGCAGAAUUCAGUGAAUCAUCGAAUCUUUGAACGCACAUUGCGCCCCUUGGUAUUCCAUGGGGCAUGCCUGUUCGAGCGUCAUUUGUACCUUCAAGCUCUGCUUGGUGUUGGGUGUUUGUCUCGCCUCUGCGUGUAGACUCGCCUCAAAACAAUUGGCAGCCGGCGUAUUGAUUUCGGAGCGCAGUACAUCUCGCGCUUUGCACUCAGAACGACGACGUCCAAAAGUACAUUUUUACACUCUUGACCUCGGAUCAGGUAGGGAUACCCGCUGAACUUAAGCAUAUCAAUAAGCGGAGG
rnacentral:rRNA from 1 species